GGACCACUAGCUCAGUUGGUAGAGCAGCUGACUCUUAAUCAGCGGGCCCAGGGUUCGAGUCCCUGGUGGUCCACCA
rnacentral:tRNA from 1 species